GUCUACUGCCAAACCACCCUGAACGCACCAGAUCUGAUCUUGGAAGCUAAGCAGGGUCAGGCCCAAUUAGUAUUUGGAUGGGAGAAGAAAGCACAGACAGCCACCAGCAGCCC
rnacentral:rRNA from 1 species